GCCUGGCUGGCUCAGUCAGUAGAGCAUGAGACUCUUGAUCUUGGGGUUGUGAGUUUGAGCCCCAUGUUGGGUA
rnacentral:tRNA from 1 species